GGAAUGUCUGAUCACGGAUAUGGGAAUGGUUGCUCAACUUUCCAGAGUAUAAUGGAACACUGUGUACACAUGUGUGAAUAACCAUACAGAGGUACUGAGAAUGACAUUUAUAUAUUUUUUUCACCACUCAACCCUGUGAGAGUACAUAUUUGGUUUGGUCCUGAUGUCAGAGUAACUGGUGAAGCAGAUGUUGAGUUUGGAACCCACGAAGAUGCUAUUGCAUUUAUGUAAAAAGAUAAAGCAAAUGUGCUACACAGAUAUGUAGAACGAUUGCUGAAUUCUACAGCUGGAGCAUGUGGUUGUACUUAUGGUAGCCAAGCGAUGGAAGGCAUGGGCUUGUCAAUCCAUUACAGUUACGGUGACCCAGUCAGCCAGUCAGCAGCUGAGUGGUAGUUGGCUACAGUGGCCAGAGCAGCAUAAGCAGAUAUGACCAAGUUUCCCAAGAAACCUCUGGUGAUUUUCCAUCAAACAUUGCAUAG
rnacentral:lncRNA from 1 species